GGAUUUGUAGUCCACAGUCACAGCCAGCAAUCUGGCACUGAUAUUUGAUGCACCAGUCCAACCUAGCUCAAGUCAUCCGUUUCUGGAACAGCAUUGGAAUCAGAACGCUGGAUGAACACUACAGGAAUAUUCUCAGACACCCAUCCCUUAGGAGUCCUA